AUUGAACGCUGGCGGCAUGCCUUACACAUGCAAGUCGAACGGUAACAGGUCUUCGGAUGCUGACGAGUGGCGAACGGGUGAGUAAUACAUCGGAACGUGCCUAGUAGUGGGGGAUAACUACUCGAAAGAGUGGCUAAUACCGCAUGAGAUCUACGGAUGAAAGCAGGGGAUCGCAAGACCUUGUGCUACUAGAGCGGCCGAUGGCAGAUUAGGUAGUUGGUGGGAUAAAAGCUUACCAAGCCGACGAUCUGUAGCUGGUCUGAGAGGACGAUCAGCCACACUGGGACUGAGACACGGCCCAG
rnacentral:rRNA from 1 species